rnacentral:siRNA from 1 species
UAUUAACAGGUUUUAGUUCAGGGU